CGGACGGGUGAGUAAUGCUUGGGAAUCUGGCUUAUGGAGGGGGAUAACUACGGGAAACUGUAGCUAAUACCGCGUAAUAUCUUCGGAUUAAAGGGUGGGACUUUCGGGCCACCUGCCAUAAGAUGAGCCCAAGUGGGAUUAGGUAGUUGGUGGGGUAAAGGCCUACCAAGCCGACGAUCUCUAGCUGGUCUGAGAGGAUGACCAGCCACACUGGAACUGAGACACGGUCCAGACUCCUACGGGAGGCAGCAGUGGGGAAUAUUGCACAAUGGGGGGAACCCUGAUGCAGCCAUGCCGCGUGAAUGAAGAAGGCCUUCGGGUUGUAAAGUUCUUUCGGUGAUGAGGAAGGUGUUUGUUUUAAUAGAACAAGCAAUUGACGUUAGUCACAGAAGAAGCACCGGCUAACUCCGUGCCAGCAGCCGCGGUAAUACGGAGGGUGCGAGCGUUAAUCGGAAUGACUGGGCGUAAGGGGCACGCAGGCGGUGACUUAAGUGAGAUGUGAAAGCCCCGAGCUUAACUUGGGAAUUGCAUUUCAUACUGGGUCGCUAGAGUAUUUUAGGGAGGGGUAGAAUUCCACGUGUAGCGGUGAAAUGCGUAGAGAUGUGGAGGAAUACCGAAGGCGAAGGCAGCCCCUUGGGAAUAUACUGACGCUCAUGUGCGAAAGCGUGGGGAGCAAACAGGAUUAGAUACCCUGGUAGUCCACGCUGUAAACGCUGUCGAUUUGGGGAUUGGGC
rnacentral:rRNA from 1 species